rnacentral:rRNA from 1 species
UACGUAGGGGGCAAGCGUUGUCCGGAUUCAUUGGGCGUAAAGCGCGUGUAGGCGGUUCGGCAGGUCCGAUGUGAAAACUCGAUGGCUCAACCUCGAGACGUCAUUGGAAACCGCCGGGCUAGAGUCCGGGAGAGGAGAGUGGAAUUCCUGGUGUAGCGGUGAAAUGCGCAGAUAUCAGGAAGAACACCAAUGGCGAAGGCAGCUCUCUGGAACGGUACUGACGCUGAGACGCGAAAGCGUGGGGAGCGAACAGG